rnacentral:rRNA from 1 species
UUGAAGAGUUUGAUCAUGGCUCAGAUUGAACGCUGGCGGCAGGCCUAACACAUGCAAGUCGAGCGGAAACGAGUUAUCUGAACCUUCGGGGGACGAUAACGGCGUCGAGCGGCGGACGGGUGAGUAAUGCCUAGGAAAUUGCCCUGAUGUGGGGGAUAACCAUUGGAAACGAUGGCUAAUACCGCAUGAUGCCUACGGGCCAAAGAGGGGGACCUUCGGGCCUCUCGCGUCAGGAUAUGCCUAGGUGGGAUUAGCUAGUUGGUGAGGUAAGGGCUCACCAAGGCGACGAUCCCUAGCUGGUCUGAGAGGAUGAUCAGCCACACUGGAACUGAGACACGGUCCAGACUCCUACGGGAGGCAGCAGUGGGGAAUAUUGCACAAUGGGCGCAAGCCUGAUGCAGCCAUGCCGCGUGUGUGAAGAAGGCCUUCGGGUUGUAAAGCACUUUCAGUCGUGAGGAAGGUAGUGUAGUUAAUAGCUGCAUUAUUUGACGUUAGCGACAGAAGAAGCACCGGCUAACUCCGUGCCAGCAGCCGCGGUAAUACGGAGGGUGCGAGCGUUAAUCGGAAUUACUGGGCGUAAAGCGCAUGCAGGUGGUUUGUUAAGUCAGAUGUGAAAGCCCGGGGCUCAACCUCGGAAUAGCAUUUGAAACUGGCAGACUAGAGUACUGUAGAGGGGGGUAGAAUUUCAGGUGUAGCGGUGAAAUGCGUAGAGAUCUGAAGGAAUACCGGUGGCGAAGGCGGCCCCCUGGACAGAUACUGACACUCAGAUGCGAAAGCGUGGGGAGCAAACAGGAUUAGAUACCCUGGUAGUCCACGCCGUAAACGAUGUCUACUUGGAGGUUGUGGCCUUGAGCCGUGGCUUUCGGAGCUAACGCGUUAAGUAGACCGCCUGGGGAGUACGGUCGCAAGAUUAAAACUCAAAUGAAUUGACGGGGGCCCGCACAAGCGGUGGAGCAUGUGGUUUAAUUCGAUGCAACGCGAAGAACCUUACCUACUCUUGACAUCCAGAGAACUUUCCAGAGAUGGAUUGGUGCCUUCGGGAACUCUGAGACAGGUGCUGCAUGGCUGUCGUCAGCUCGUGUUGUGAAAUGUUGGGUUAAGUCCCGCAACGAGCGCAACCCUUAUCCUUGUUUGCCAGCGAGUAAUGUCGGGAACUCCAGGGAGACUGCCGGUGAUAAACCGGAGGAAGGUGGGGACGACGUCAAGUCAUCAUGGCCCUUACGAGUAGGGCUACACACGUGCUACAAUGGCGCAUACAGAGGGCAGCCAACUUGCGAAAGUGAGCGAAUCCCAAAAAGUGCGUCGUAGUCCGGAUUGGAGUCUGCAACUCGACUCCAUGAAGUCGGAAUCGCUAGUAAUCGUGGAUCAGAAUGCCACGGUGAAUACGUUCCCGGGCCUUGUACACACCGCCCGUCACACCAUGGGAGUGGGCUGCAAAAGAAGUAGGUAGUUUAACCUUCGGGGGGACGCUUACCACUUUGUGGUUCAUGACUGGGGUGAAGUCGUAACAAGGUAGCGCUAGGGGAACCUGGCGCUGGAUCACCUCCUU